GAUGAACGCUGGCGGCGUGCCUAAUACAUGCAAGUCGAGCGAACAGACGAGGAGCUUGCUCCUCUGACGUUAGCGGCGGACGGGUGAGUAACACGUGGAUAACCUACCUAUAAGACUGGAAUAACUUCGGGAAACCGGAGCUAAUACCGGAUAAUAUAUUGAACCGCAUGGUUCAAUAGUGAAAGACGGUUUUGCUGUCACUUAUAGAUGGAUCCGCGCCGCAUUAGCUAGUUGGUAAGGUAACGGCUUACCAAGGCAACGAUGCGUAGCCGACCUGAGAGGGUGAUCGGCCACACUGGAACGGAGACACGGUCCAGACUCCUACGGGAGGCAGCAGUAGGGAAUCUUCCGCAAUGGGCGAAAGCCUGACGGAGCAACGCCGCGUGAGUGAUGAAGGUCUUCGGAUCGUAAAACUCUGUUAUUAGGGAAGAACAAAUGUGUAAGUAACUAUGCACGUCUUGACGGUACCUAAUCAGAAAGCCACGGCUAACUACGUG
rnacentral:rRNA from 1 species